rnacentral:rRNA from 1 species
CUGUCGUCAGCUCGUGUUGUGAAAUGUUCGGGUUAAGUCCCGCGAACGAGCGCAACCCUUAUCCUUGUUGCCAGCGGUCCGGCCGGGAACUCAAGGAGACUGCCAGUGAUAAACUGGAGGAAGGUGGGGAUGACGUCAAAUCAUCAUGCCCCUUAUGACCUGGGCUACACACGUGCUACAAUGGUUGGUACAACGAGUUGCGAGUCGGUGACGGCGAGCUAAUCUCUUAAAGCCAAUCUCAGUUCGGAUUGUAGGCUGCAACUCGCCUACAUGAGGUCGGAAUCGCUAGUAAUCGCGGAUCAGCACGCCGCGGUGAAUACGUUCCCGGGCCUU